AGUGAACGCUGGCGGUAGGCCUAACACAUGCAAGUCGAACGGCAGCACAGUAAGAGCUUGCUCUUACGGGUGGCGAGUGGCGGACGGGUGAGGAAUACAUCGGAAUCUACUUUUUCGUGGGGGAUAACGUAGGGAAACUUACGCUAAUACCGCAUCCGACCUACGGGUGAAAGCAGGGGAUCUUCGGACCUUGCGCGAUUGAAUGAGCCGAUGUCGGAUUAGCUAGUUGGCGGGGUAAAGGCCCACCAAGGCGACGAUCGGUAGCUGGUCUGAGAGGAGGGUCAGCGACACUGGAAGUGAGCCACGGUCCAGACUCCUGAGGGAGGGAGCAGUGGGGAAUAUUGGACAAUGGGGGCAAGCCUGAUCCAGCCAGACCGAGUGGGUGAAGAAGGCCUUCGGGUUGUAAUGACGUUUUGUUGGGAAAGAAAAGCAGCAGGUUAAUACCCCGCUGUUCUGACGGUACCCAAAGAAUAAGCACCGGCUAACUUCGUG
rnacentral:rRNA from 1 species